GGGACCUUGGAAAUAGGGUACAUGCUUGGAUGGUAGGAUGGAAAGGAGGAACCAUGUCUGCUUUUCUCACUGCUGCAGCCCCCAGGCCAGCACGGACCUAGGAUGGGGUAGACACGCGUCAGGCUGCCUGAGGAUAGAGAUCUUUCUCUGCUGCCUUACUGCCAGUUACAUUAAAUACAGUAGAUGACAAGGGUUUAUCA